GAUGAACGCUGGCGGCGUGCCUAACACAUGCAAGUCGAGCGAAGCGGGGACGGGUGAGUAACACGUGGAUAACCUCCUAUAAGACUGGGUUAACCUCGGGAAAACGGAGUUAAACCGGAAACUUACAGAAUGAUCCGCGCUGCAUUAGCUAGUUGGUAAGGUAACGGCUUACCAAGGCAACGAUGCAUAGCCGGACUGAGAGGGUGAUCGGCCACACUGGAACUGAGACACGGUCCAGACUCCUACGGGAGGCAGCAGUAGGGAAUCUUCCGCAAUGGGCGAAAGCCUGACGGAGCAACGCCGCGUGAGUGAUGAAGGUCUUCGGGUCGUAAAACUCUGUUAUUAGGGAAGCGGUACCUAAUCAGAAAGCCACGGCUAACUACGUGCCAGCAGCCGCGGUAAUAC
rnacentral:rRNA from 1 species